rnacentral:rRNA from 1 species
UGGGGAAUAUUGGACAAUGGGCGAAAGCCUGAUCCAGCCAUGCCGCGUGUGUGAAGAAGGUCUUCGGAUUGUAAAGCACUUUAAGUUGGGAGGAAGGGCAGUAAGCGAAUACCUUGCUGUUUUGACGUUACCGACAGAAUAAGCACCGGCUAACUCUGUGCCAGCAGCCGCGGUAAUACAGAGGGUGCAAGCGUUAAUCGGAAUUACUGGGCGUAAAGCGCGCGUAGGUGGUUCGUUAAGUUGAAUGUGAAAGCCCCGGGUUCAACCUGGGAACUGCAUCCAAAACUGGCGAGCUAGAGUAGGGCAGAGGGUGGUGGAAUUUCCUGUGUAGCGGUGAAAUGCGUAGAUAUAGGAAGGAACACCAGUGGCGAAGGCAACCACCUGGGCUCAUACUGACACUGAGGUGCGAAAGCGUGGGGAGCAAACAGG